CCUACGGGUGGCAGCAGUGGGGAAUAUUGCACAAUGGGGGAAACCCUGAUGCAGCAACGCCGCGUGAGUGAAGAAGGCUUUCGGGUUGUAAAGCUCUGUCUUCAGGGACGAUAAUGACGGUACCUGACGAGGAAGCCACGGCUAACUACGUGCCAGCAGCCGCGGUAAUACGUAGGUGGCGAGCGUUGUCCGGAUUUACUGGGCGUAAAGGGAGCGUAGGCGGUUCUGUAAGUCGGAUGUGAAAUACCCUGGCUCAACUUGGGUGCUGCGUUUGAAACUGUAAGACUAGAGUGCAGGAGAGGAGAAUGGAAUUCCUAGUGUAGCGGUGAAAUGCGUAGAGAUUAGGAAGAACACCAGUGGCGAAGGCGGUUCUCUGGACUGUAACUGACGCUGAGGCUCGAAAGCGUGGGGAGCAAACAGGAUUAGAUACCCGGGUAGUC
rnacentral:rRNA from 1 species